UUUUAUGGAUGAGCAAAGAAAGUGGUUUCUUGAGAUGGAAUCAACUCUUGAUGAAGAUGGUGUGAA
rnacentral:pre_miRNA from 1 species